rnacentral:rRNA from 1 species
GACGAACGCUGGCGGCGUGCCUAACACAUGCAAGUCGAACGAGGUCCAUGCAGUGGCAACACUGCGGACGACCUAGUGGCGAACGGGUGAGUAACACGUGAGGAACUUGCCCCGGAGACCGGGAUAACCCUCCGAAAGGAGAGCUAAUACCGGAUACCUCCACCUGGCCGCAUGACCGGGUGAAGAAAUGGAUUCCGCUCCGGGAGAGCCUCGCGGCCUAUCAGCUUGUUGGUGGGGUAACGGCCCACCAAGGCAUCGACGGGUAGCUGGUCUGAGAGGACGAUCAGCCACUCUGGGACUGAGACACGGCCCAGACUCCUACGGGAGGCAGCAGUGGGGAAUCUUGCGCAAUGGGCGAAAGCCUGACGCAGCAACGCCGCGUGCGGGAUGAAGGCCCUCGGGUUGUAAACCGCUUUCAGUGGGGACGAACCAAGACGGUACCCACAGAAGAAGCCCCGGCCAACUACGUGCCAGCAGCCGCGGUAACACGUAGGGGCAAGCGUUGUCCGGAUUAUUGGGCGUAAAAGAGCUCGUAGGGGGUUCGGUAAGUCGGGUGUGAAAACCUCCAGGCUCAACCUGGAGACGCCCACCCCGAUACUGCCGUGACUAGAGUCCAGUAGGGGGAGCGUGGAAUUCCUGGUGUAGCGGUGAAAUGCGCAGAUAUCAGGAGGAACACCAGCGGCGAAGGCGGCGCUCU